AUUCUCUUGUAACUUCUGAGAGUGAUGGUGACUUUUCACACUUGUGUGAGAGAUGUACCUCCCUCAAACCUUGUUAUAAUGUGGGCAUUACCUGUCUAAUG